rnacentral:ncRNA from 2 species
CAUUUUUACGCGGGAGAGCUCGGUUCGCAUUUGAACCGGCGCCGAAGGAGCAACCGCCCCGGAAACUCUCAGGUCAAAGGGACCGCGUGAAAGCA